AGUGAACGCUGGCGGUAGGCCUAACACAUGCAAGUCGAACGGCAGCACAGUAAGAGCUUGCUCUUACGGGUGGCGAGUGGCGGACGGGUGAGGAAUACAUCGGAAUCUACUUUUUCGUGGGGGAUAACGUAGGGAAACUUACGCUAAUACCGCAUACGACCUACGGGUGAAAGCAGGGGAUCUUCGGACCUUGUGCGAUUGAAUGAGCCGAUGUCGGAUUAGCUAGUUGGCGGGGUAAAGGCCCACCAAGGCGACGAUCCGUUGCUGGUCUGAGAGGAUGAUCGGCCACACUGGAGCUGAGACACGGUCCAGACGCCUACGAGAGGCAGCAGAGGGGAAUGUUGGACAAUGGUCGCAAGCCUGGUCCAGCCGUACCGCGUGGGUGAAGAAGGCCUUCGGGUUGGAAAGCCCGUUUGUUGGGAAAGAAAAGCAGCAGGUUAAUACCCCGCGGUUCUGACGGUACCCAAAGAAUAAGCACCGGCUAACUUCGUG
rnacentral:rRNA from 1 species